CAUAACAGAAACAAAGAAAGCCACAGGCUGCUAGAGAUGACUCCUGCCAAGGUGGCAGCAGUAGGAGCCUAUAACCAACAGAUGAGAGGUGUAAAGCACACCAGACAGCAUAGAGCCAGCCAUGAGGCCACUGAGCACAGGGAAACAGCCAAGAUGAUGGUUGACUUCUCUGACAUGGUUGCAGCAGAGGAAAUGGAGAGAGAAGAGAAAGGAGAGAAAAUUAAGGGAGUAAGAAUCAAGUUUCUUCUGAAAUAAAGCAAAUCCCACAUCCACUGAAGAUGAUAUGUGGAAGUGUGACUUUGAGGGGAAAAAUGAUCAGGAGAUUAAGUGAUAAAAUGACAAUGAAGAUGAGGGAAGAGCAUCAAAUUCAUAUCAAAUAGACCCUUCUUCUGAAUCAAUCAUUUUUAAAUUAAAAAAAAGUUGUAUCGAUAAAGUCCAUACAAAUUUCA